rnacentral:rRNA from 1 species
ACUCCUACGGGAGGCAGCAGUGGGGAAUAUUGCACAAUGGGCGCAAGCCUGAUGCAGCCAUGCCGCGUGUAUGAAGAAGGCCUUCGGGUUGUAAAGUACUUUCAGCAGUGAGGAAGGCGGAGUCGUUAAUAGCGGCCUCGUUUGACGUUAGCUGCAGAAGAAGCACCGGCUAACUCCGUGCCAGCAGCCGCGGUAAUACGGAGGGUGCGAGCGUUAAUCGGAAUUACUGGGCGUAAAGCGCAUGCAGGUGGUUCGUUAAGUCAGAUGUGAAAGCCCGGGGCUCAACCUCGGAAUUGCAUUUGAAACUGGCAGACUAGAGUACUGUAGAGGGGGGUAGAAUUUCAGGUGUAGCGGUGAAAUGCGUAGAGAUC